rnacentral:rRNA from 1 species
UACGAAGGGGGCUAGCGUUGCUCGGAAUCACUGGGCGUAAGGGCGCGUAGGCGGCGUUUUAAGUCGGGGGUGAAAGCCUGUGGCUCAACCACAGAAUGGCCUUCGAUACUGGGACGCUUGAGUAUGGUAGAGGUUGGUGGAACUGCGAGUGUAGAGGUGAAAUUCGUAGAUAUUCGCAAGAACACCGGUGGCGAAGGCGGCCAACUGGACCAUUACUGACGCUGAGGCGCGAAAGCGUGGGGAGCGAACAGG